rnacentral:rRNA from 1 species
AUACGGAGGGUGCAAGCGUUACUCGGAAUCACUGGGCGUAAAGCGCGCGCAGGCGGCCCGAUCAGUUGGAUGUGAAAGCCUACGGCUCAACCGUAGAACUGCAUCCAAAACUGUCGGGGUAGAGUCUGGGAGGGGAAGAUGGAAUUAGUUGUGUAGGGGUAAAAUCCGUAGAGAUAACUAGGAAUACCAAAAGCGAAGGCGAUCUUCUGGAACAGUACUGACGCUGAGGCGCGAUAGCGUGGGGAGCAACCAGGAUUAGAAACCCUAGUAGUCC